AAAGUGAUUAUAGUUAAAAAGCUUAUAAUUGAACCUUAGGCUUGGCUAGCCGGUCUGCCUUAUUAUAUAUAUUAGUCCGGCCGGGCCUUUCCCUCUAUAGAACCCUAUGCCUUUUACUAGGUAUAGUAGGGAAAUAGGAUUUUUACUUUAAAAAAAUUAAAAUACUUUAGGCAAGCUUAUACUCGAAUAUAUUAGUAUAAAAUAAUAAAAUAGGACGUACGGUUCUAUUUUAUUAGUUUCUAGGACCGCUAUAAUAAUUAAUAGGGAUAAUUAGAGGCAUUAAUAUUUAAUUAUUAGAGGUAAAAUUCUUAGAUUUAUUGAAGACUAACUACUAUAAAAGCAUUUGCUAAGGAUAUUUUUAUUAAUUAAGAAUAAAAAUUAGGGGAUCGAAGACAAUUAAAUACUAUUAUAAUCUUAACUAUAAACUAUACCGACUAGGGAUUAAACGAUAUUAUUUUUUAACUUAUUUAGUAUUUUAUGAGAAAUUAAAGUGCUUAGGCUCUA
rfam:Villosiclava virens strain TV-8b Sca_37, whole genome shotgun sequence.